UACGUAGGGUGCAAGCGUUAAUCGGAAUUACUGGGCAUAAAGCGUGCGCAGGCGGUCUUGCAAGACAGAUGUGAAAUCCCCGGGCUUAACCUGGGAACUGCAUUUGUGACUGCAAGGCUGGAGUACGGUAGAGGGGGAUGGAAUUCCGCGUGUAGCAGUGAAAUGCGUAGAUAUGCGGAGGAACACCGAUGGCGAAGGCAAUCCCCUGGACCUGUACUGACGCUCAUGCACGAAAGCGUGGGGAGCAAACAGG
rnacentral:rRNA from 1 species